rnacentral:rRNA from 1 species
AUUGAACGCUGGCGGCAUGCCUUACACAUGCAAGUCGAACGGUAACAGGUCUUCGGAUGCUGACGAGUGGCGAACGGGUGAGUAAUACAUCGGAACGUGCCUAGUAGUGGGGGAUAACUACUCGAAAGAGUGGCUAAUACCGCAUGAGAUCUACGGAUGAAAGCAGGGGAUCGCAAGACCUUGUGCUACUAGAGCGGCCGAUGGCAGAGUAGGUAGUUGGUGGGAUAAAAGCUUACCAAGCCGACGAUCUGUAGCUGGUCUGAGAGGACGACCAGCCACACUGGGACUGAGACACGGCCCAGACUCCUACGGGAGGCAGCAGUGGGGAAUUUUGGACAAUGGGCGAAAGCCUGAUCCAGCAAUGCCGCGUGCAGGAUGAAGGCCUUCGGGUUGUAAACUGCUUUUGUACGGAACGAAAAGCCCCGGGUUAAUACCCUGGGGUCAUGACGGUACCGUAAGAAUAAGCACCGGCUAACUACGUGCCAGCAGCCGCCGUAA